AUUAAGACUACAUGUCCUGAGAGACUAAGACUGUAUACACUUGUCCAUCAUUGGAGACUAGGCUAAUGUUUAAAAACAUGUAUCUUUAAUGUUGUAAAUUUUAAAAUGUCUUUUUUGGUUGCUUUCCACUCGCUCCAGUUGUUCUUUCAUGUAAGUUUUACGUGUAUAGAUCCAGGAUCCGAGUGAUCAACCAAAAUACUGUUUGAAGUAGGCCAAAAUUUUAUUCAAUUUUGUGACUGAUUAUCAAAUAUUUGACCUUGAAUAUUUUAUCUGAAGUCUAUGUCGUUACUAACAUGAACCUUUAUAUCUAUAUUGUUUUAUUUUACAUGUAUCUAUAGACAAUCCACUUAUCAAUCUCUGUGUUUUAAUGUUUGCAAGUUGACAGGAAACCAAAAUAUACACCUGUACACUUAUAUAUGACAAAGGUCAGAGGUCAGGUACAUGUAUUAUCUUUACACCUAUUAUUAUAACUGAUGUUCUUAUGUGUUGGUCAACCUUUGAGAGGAGGUUUGCAUUGAAUUGGCCUAAAGGGAAAAUUUUUAGAGAUAGUCUUUAAAAACCAGGGAUUGAAGAUGUAUUUUAUUAAAUGAUAAAAAAAAUUGCUGUAUGACUUUAAACAGCAAUCAUGAUUUUUAUCUGAGUCAGAGUUUUACAAGAGAGAAGUAUAAUUUGAUAUUCAUGCAAAAUUUGUCAUUAAGUUUUUUUUCUCUUUUAUAUAAUCAUCAGCAAAGUUAGUUUGCAUGGUUGUACUAAAGCUGACAGUGCAAAAUCUUGAAAUGAUGGACUCUCACCUGUCCUGACCCAAACACAGUCUAGAUAAAGACCAGACUAAACUGAUAACAAUGUACAUGUAAGACAGGGAAAUACAGAUAAUGCAGAUGGGGCAAACUUUUCCUUGGCAAACUCUCACAUCAAGCACAGAUAAAACAUGCGAUAUAAACAUAAUGAAUCUACACAGAUGAAAAACAAAAAUUCAGGCAGGU